GUGUCAGCAGCCGCGGUAAUACGGAGGGUGCAAGCGUUGUUCGGAAUUACUGGGCGUAAAGGGCGCGUAGGCGGUUUGAUAAGUCAGAUGUGAAAGCCCACGGCUUAACUGUGGAAGUGCAUUUGAAACUGUCAGACUUGAGUACCAGAGGGGAAAGUGGAAUUCCCGGUGUAGAGGUGAAAUUCGUAGAUAUCGGGAGGAAUACCGGUGGCGAAGGCGACUUUCUGGCUGGAUACUGACGCUGAGGCGCGAAAGCGUGGGGAGCAAACAGGAUUAGAUACCCGCGUAGUCC
rnacentral:rRNA from 1 species